rnacentral:misc_RNA from 1 species
AACGCACAUUGCGCCCGCCAGCACUCUGGCGGGCAUGCCUGCUCGAGUGUCAUUUUGACAAUUAGGCUUGUUGCUUAUUCGGCCUAUGUUGGGGUUCUGCGAAUGCAUGCAGGCCCUGAAAACCAGUGGCAGACUUGCGGUUGCUCCGAGCGUAGUAACAGGUAUCUCGCUUCGGAAGGCGCCUUGAGACUCUUGGCUAUUUAAAACACACGCUGUGCAUUGGGGAUAAUCUAUCCCUUGCUCAAGCUUGACCUCGGAUUAGGUAGGAGGACCCGCUGAACUUAA